AAUAGAUUGAGAACUUUAAAAACCCCCAAAUUAAAAAAACAGAACUUUAAGUUCUUUUUCCCAGUUUGUUUGGCUCAUUAUCUGGGUUUCUGAAUGCGUGAUUGAUGCUGAAAUUGCAGAAAAAACAAGAGGAUUUCAAAGGGGAAGAAAGGAGGGAUGAUGAAAGCAGAUAUUUUGAAGGGCAAAGCAAACUUUUGAAAGGGUGCCAGAAGGAAACAGGGGACGAUUGGUAAAAACUUCUCACAUUCUAGGUAAUUUUAGCUUUAUUUAAGAAAUUACAGUGAAAGUUGCUGGAGCUGCUGCCAUGGAUUUUGUGUCCAAUAAAUUGAAAGAAGAAAUAAAUGGCUGGGAGUUCUUGUAAUGCAUCCAAGUGCAAGAUAUGCACUUUAUGUUAUAAACCUCAUUCGUGAACAUACUUUUUACAAUUUGUGUAGAGAGAGACCAUGUGAAGGCCCGAGAAGAGUGUGAUUUCCAUGUGCAGUGAUUCCACAUGGAAACCUUCUGAAACCAUGUGAGGUGAAUUUGAGUAACAAGAUGGUUGGCAACAUCAUUUCAAUUUUUCUUGAAUUAUUGGGCUUUGAUGAUUUAAUUGGUUUCAAAAGUGAUGUGGAAAAAGAAUGUCAUGAUAUUGAUGAGCCACGCUUGUGGUAUGGGGGGAGAAUUGGGUUCAAAGAUGAUGAGAUUUGAAGAGAAGACAGCCCUCAUGACUGCUACCAUGUUUGGGAAGCAAGGGUGUGUUGAGUUAUAUACUGGAAACCAGUUGCGUUGAUGUUAACAAGGCUUGUGGUUUGGAUGAGCUUCUGUACUUCAUUUUGUUGCUGAUGUGGACUUUGAUAUUUCAACUGAGGUUAUUUAGCUUUUGCUUGAAGCUUCUGCACUUCCUUCUGUCUGGUUGCAUACUAUUGAGUAUGUACAGUACACCUUGUUCAUUUUAUAAUUUUUAUUCUUGCUAUUUCUUUGCCCUGUAGUAAUUGUAUUUAAAUAAUUUUAUGUAAUAGAACAUGUAUAUAUUAGGUGUGGAUGUUGGAUUCUAUAAAUCAUGUAUCCUUGAUAUGGACUGUAACAUAUAUAUAUAUAUAUAUAUAUAUAUUUUAAUGAA